UACAGAGGGUGCGAGCGUUGUCCGGAAUCACUGGGCGUAAAGGGCGCGUAGGUGGUGGCUUAAGCGUGCGGUGAAAGCUCGGGGCUCAACCCCGAGUCGGCCGUGCGAACUGGGCUCACUGGAGCAUAGUAGAGGCAGGUGGAAUUCCGGGUGUAGCGGUGGAAUGCGUAGAGAUCCGGAAGAACACCGGUGGCGAAGGCGGUUAGCUGGGCAGUAGCUGACACUGAGGCGCGACAGCGUGGGGAGCAAACAGG
rnacentral:rRNA from 1 species